AACUCCAUAAUAAUGCUCAAUUCUUGUACGGUCAUAAUAAUAGAAUUGAUAUC
rnacentral:sRNA from 15 species